rnacentral:rRNA from 1 species
UAGCUAAAUGCGGAAGAGAUAAGUGCUGAAAGCAUCUAAGCACGAAACUUGCCCCGAGAUGAGUUCUCCCUGACCCUUUAAGGGGCCUGAAGGAACGUUGAAGACGACGACGUUGAUAGGCCGGGUGUGUAAGCGCAGCGAUGCGUUGAGCUAACCGGUACUAAUGAACCGUGAGGCUUAACCUUACAACGCCGAAG